rnacentral:lncRNA from 1 species
AUGGAACUGGGAACCACAGGCCAGGGACCUUCAGAGCUGGCCAGACUGGCUUCCCCCGUGCAGCUAAAAAAAAAAAAAAAAAAAAAAUGGUGGAAGGGACAAAGAGCCCUCCUGAAGGCCAGGCUUGAGAGAGAACAGCAUGAGGUAGAGAAGGCAUCGGCCAUCACUCGCCCUCGCUGCAACAGUCUGGACCGGGUCUCGAACGCCCAGCACCACAAGGUCACAGGUAAGAAGGGGCUGAACAGAGACCCUCCGAGAGCUCUGACGAAGCAGAGGUGGGUUGGGGCCAGAAAAACAGGGCUGGGAGGGGACACAGGCCGUCAGACAAGGGCUCCUCAGCACCACUCAGAAUUGCAGGAGAGCAGACAGAGGUCGAGGCGAAUGCUGGUACUGCUCUGAGAGGCUUGAGGGGACUUUCUGGGACCAGGACACCAAGAGGGGACUAACCAGAGGACAGGUUCCCUGCAGGUGCAGUGAGCAGCACUAGGUCAUUGUCAGUCUUGCUGUAGAGCUGGUGGUCUGUGUGCUCGCUGAGUCCUGGGUGCUGCCCUUGAGCCGUGUGAAGUACUCGUGGAGGCGGUCUACAGCUGGAGCCCCUAUCUAGUCUCCCUUCAGGAUGACUCAGAGGUAUGAGGCCAAGUCGAACUUUGUAGUUGGGGCCCAAGCCCCCCAGUCUCGAAGUCCCAGGUCUCUGUGGUGAUUUGGAGGACGUGGUGUCAUCAUGUAUCAGAUGUGGUAGAGACCAUCCCACCUGUCCUUGCUGUGUAAGAAGGAAGGGCUGAGGGAACCCGUCUGCCAGUCUGUCUACAACCUGGCUACCGAGACGUGGUCCUGUACCUGCAGCGUCACCUGGGAGCUGACCAGAAAUGCAGAGUCAGCCUCCACGCAGGUGUCCCCAGUCGGAAGCUGUAGUUUAACGAGAUCCCAUGUGAUUCUUGUGCACAUAACUGUUUGAGAGCCAUUGCUCUGCGGCACGUCAGCUCUCCACCCCCACACCAGAGAGCCUACCAACUUUUCCCCAGUGGAGAACAGUAAGGAAUAAUGAAGUAAUUCAUCUUACCCUGACCAGGAAGCUCUUUAAUUAAUUUUACUUCCAUGAAACACAUAAUUUGAAAGCAUCUCUCAAGUAAACAGAUUCCAUUUUCUGGUAACUGAUCACUCCAUUUAAAAAUUUUAAUCAAGGACAUACAUCAUUCCCUGUCAGAACUUCUGUUCAGCCUUAGGAUACCAGGGGUUCCUCCACUGACUUGCUGUAAUUCCAGCAAAAAGCAGAGAUAUGCUGUUUGGUUAGCCUGUGAGGCUUUGUAAGGUUAAUUGCAGUGUUUCCAUUUGAGCAUUUUCGAAUAUUGAAUUGAAACCAGAUGAGGAGCAUUUGACCGUCAGCCUGCCCUCGUGCAGUCAGGCUGAUGAGAACGGCUGAUGAGAUUAAAUGAAGCUGGGAGAGGCUAAAUUGCUCAUCUCCUGCUCAGCUCAGACUCAGAAAGGCUCUGAGAUACAGAAGAGAGUGGGGCUAUGGAGCCCAGCAAGAAUUAACUCCCACCCUUGACAGGGACAAGCAUGGCGUAUGUAACUUGGUACACACACAAUACACUCCUCAGUGAACUAAUACUUUGCAGCAGCGUUUUUUUAAGAGCUCAACAAAAAGAUUCUGAAAUUAAUCUGGAAAAGUAAAUGUGAAAAACAGUUCAAGAUACAGGCAAAUAAGGGAAGACAGUAAAAAUAACAGCAAGGAGAAAGGACUUGUCUACUGUUGUUAAAAUACAUUACAAAGCCAUGAUGACUUAAUACCCAGCAUUCAACAGAUGGAUCAAAUCACAAAAGUAUGGAAACAGAUACAUGGUUUAUCAAACUUGACUGUAUAACAAAGGUGAUAUGUUGUGCUGGUGAAGAUUAUUAAAAAUGAUUACUGCAACUUAAUGAACUUAAAGUGAAAAAAGGAAUUCCAGUGCUACAUCCUCCUUUAAAAUGAACACGCAGGAGGGCAGCAGCCCACAUAUGCGGGUCCCUGGGGGGCAGUGCUGCCCACUGCACCACAGGGUCGCCCCCACCGCAGCCCAGAGCCAGCCCUGAAACAUGGACAGAGGAAGAAGGCCCUGCCGAUCAGCAGUGGGGGCUGAAGAAAGGGGGCCAGAGCAGCCUCCACCAGCCAUAUGCAAACUGGAGCACGGGGCGCAAACCAGGCGGCAAAGGAAGCCUGUGGGCGGAGCAAGAAACCAGCAGGCAGAGGCUGGGGGCGGGGGGAGGCGGUCGCCGAAAGUCCAAAGCCUGCCCUGCCUCCUCCAAUAUGUGCACAUUUACUGACUUAGACAUUAUGUAUUAUACGUGCGGGCUUCCCCGCUCAGUUGGUGGAGAACCUGCCUGCAAUGCA